GAAUAGAACGCUGGCGGCGCGCCUAAUACAUGCAAGUCGAGCGAGAAGACGUAGCAAUACGUUUGUAAAGCGGCGAACGGGUGAGGAAUACAUGGGUAACCUACCCUUGAGUGGGGAAGUAACUAGCCGAAAGGUUAGCUAAUACCGCGUACGCUUCCUGGACUUCGGUUCAGGGAGGAAAGCGAUGCCGAGGGUAUCGCGCUCUUGGAUGGGCUCAUGUCCUAUCAGCUUGUUGGNGAGGUAACGGCUCACCAAGGCUUCGACGGGUANCUGGUCUGAGAGGACGAUCAG
rnacentral:rRNA from 1 species